GAUGAAGAACGCAGCGAAAUGCGAUAAGUAAUGUGAAUUGCAGAAUUCAGUGAAUCAUCGAAUCUUUGAACGCACCUUGCACUCCUUGGUAUUCCGAGGAGUACGCCUGUUCGAGUGUUAUGAAGCUCUCAAAACGCAAUUGGCUUAAAACCUGAUUGUUGUUUUGGAUUUGAACUUUGCCGUGUUAUAACGGCUGGUUUUAAAAGUAUUAGCUGGUACUAGAACGAAUUGGUUCUACUCAACGUGAUAAUUAUCUGAUCGUUGAGGACAUUCCUUUCACGAGGAAUGGCCAUAGUAAAUUCAAUGGACUGCUUCUAAUCUGGCUUUAAUUCUUUAUUGGAUUAACCACUUUUCAAAUCUGACCUCGAAUCAGGUGGGACUACCCGCUGAACUUAAGCAUAUCAAUAAGCGGAGGC
rnacentral:misc_RNA from 1 species